AAUGAACGCUGGCGGCAGGCCUAAAACAUGCAAGUCGAACGCCUGUAGCAAUACAGGAGUGGCGCACGGGUGCGUAACACGUGGGCAUAUGCCUAUUGGUACGGAACAGCUCCGGGAAACUGGAAUUAAUACCGUAUGGUCCCUUCGGGGUAAAGAUUUAUCGCCACUAGAUUAGCCCGCGGUGGAUUAGAUAGUUGGUAGGGUAAUGGCCUACCAAGGCGAGGAUCCAUAGCUGGUCUGAGAGGACGAUCAGCCACGCUGGGACUGAGACACGGCCCAGACUCCUACGGGAGGCAGCAGUUAGGAAUAUUGGACAAUGGGCGCAAGCCUGAUCCAGCCAUGCCGCGUGAGUGAUGAAGGCCUUCGGGUUGUAAAACUCUUUAGCCGAUGAAUAUAAUGACUGUAGUCGGAAAAUAAGCCCCGGCUAACUUCGUGCCAGCAGCCGCGGUAA
rnacentral:rRNA from 1 species